rnacentral:rRNA from 1 species
GAUGAACGCUGGCGGCGUGCCUAAUACAUGCAAGUCGAGCGAAGCGGGGACGGGUGAGUAACACGUGGAUAACCUCCUAUAAGACUGGGAUAACUUCGGGAAACCGGAGCUAAACCGGAUACUAAUAGAUGGAUCUGCGCUGCAUUAGCUAGUUGGUAAGGUAACGGCUUACCAAGGCAACGAUGCAUAGCCGACCUGAGAGGGUGAGCGGCCACAGUGGAAAUGAGAAACGGUCCAGACUCUUACGGGAGGCAGCAGUAGGGAAUUCUCGGAAAUGGGCGAAAGCCUGACGGAGCAACGCCGCGUGGGGGACGAAGGUCUUCGGAUCGGAAAACUCUGUUAUUAGGGAAGCGGUACCUAAUCAGACAGCCACGGCUAACUACGUGCCAGCAGCCGCGGUAAUUC